ensembl:lncRNA
GCUAAGGAGCUAUUUUGGAAAACAAAAUAUGAGGCGUGAUGCUUACUUUGUCUGUAGUCUGGAUUUUGCGCAGGAAGCGUUGGUAUCGAUCCCUCUUUCAGAAGCAACCUUUGCACAACUCCAGCGCUGAACUGACCCUCGUUUGUGAGGCAGUCCAGCGUAAAAUGAUUAGCACAAACAUAUAGGACUUUUCAAUAUAUUGCUUUUCCCGUCCAAAAAGACCAUAAACUUUGCAGGAAUGCAGAGAGGUUCAUUCCACCUCUAUGUAAAGUGUUUGGACCCAGAAUGAAGGCAGACCAGGUGACUCCUCUGCUCCAGGCUUUGGACUUCACCAUCACUCUGAACUCCAUACCAGAGGAGGAGCUAGAGAGCUUUCUGCCUUUACUCAGCAGUCACACAACUCAGGGUUAUACUGAUAUAACAGCACUGAUAUCAUAAUAAACAUGACUGUUUAGUAAUGCAUGUGUGUGAUUUUGCAGAAGCUGCUUCAUUGCUGCAGUUCCUCUGAUCUCCAGCAGGAGGCAGCAGAUGCCCUUCUCUCGGCUCUUCAUAACAGACUGGACUUCUGCUGCUCUGCUCUGGAUUUAACAGACACACAGGAAAACCAAGAACAUUUGAAACUAACCAAAAAAGACUGUAGAAUGAUCUCAGCUGUGCUUCAGAAAACCCAAACUAUUGUGAAGCUGAGCUUACAGGACUGAGCUCUCUGAUGAGGCCCUGAAACAACUUUGGCCAGUCCUGCCUCAAGUCCAGCUGAGCUGUAGUAAAGCUCUGCUGCUGCAGUUUCUGGCUUGUAUUAGUAAAGAUGGAGCCGAGAGAGGCUCUUUGAGGAGCGCUGAGGCUCUUUCACAGGCUUUGGGAGGAGAGCUGGACCUCAGUCACACUCAGAUGGACCCGAGAGCUUGUGAAGAGCUGGCACUGUUUCUGGAAUAUUCUGAAGGACUGACAGAACUGGUUCUCAGUCACUGCAAACUCACUGAUCACUGCAUGGAGCCGCUGCUGCCACAUCUGCACAAAACCCAGACUCUGGACCUGAGUCACAAUAAUAUCACAGAUGAAUCAGCAAAGAGCAUCCACAGUGUCGUCUGCACUCACAGCAAUAUUCAGACUGUACGACUCUUCGGAAACAAAAUCAGUGAUAGAAAGCAGUUCAUCAGAGACCAGCGAUUUGAAAUAUGUGUAUUAUGCAAUAAUUAUUUCUUGGGAAUGGAAUACUAGUAUCUUCACUGGCUACCGUUCACCGCUCACAUCAAGUUCAAGACAUUAAAGUUUGCAUACAUACUGACCUCUACUCCUGCUGUUAGUGGGUAAGCAACACCUCAUGGUACUGUAACAGAGGCACAGUGUCAUUUUCCCAAACAUUUACAGUGGAAUGAUCUUCCCAGUCUUACCCGGACAUUCAAAUGCAGUAUUUAAGAAAUGGCAAAAAAAAAAAAUUUUUUCAGUGAGCACUUAACUGUGGAUGUUGCCUGGGGAAAAAAAAUAUUUCUAUGCUUUUGCUUCUAGACAAUGUUUAAAACUUUGUAUUGUUAUCACUUCUGUUAUUACCUCCUCAGAAUAAUUCACUUUGUUAUACUCCUGAUUUUUAAGUCGCUUUGGUUAAAGCAUCAGCUAAAUGAAUUAAAGUAAACAUACUCCAGUACUCAGUCUCUUUUAAUGCACCUAAUUCAGUUGUAAGA